CCUGAGCUUGAAGAUGAGAAACUCCAUAUUUGUUUUUUCAUUAUCCUUUCUCUAAAAAUGAAAAUAGAAGAGCCUCAAAUCCAUUUUAAAAUAUAAAAUACUAAAAUCAAUCAAAUCAUUCAACCUAUACAAAUUGCUAACGAAUGAAAAACAAUUUUCACUUACUCGUGAAUCCCUAAAUCGUUGAAUCUGAAUCGAUGAGUUUGAAUAACAAAAUCGUAAACCGUUGAACCGUAGGAUAAAUCCGAUUGAAGAUGAACACUUAUUGAAGAGGAAAUCGAUUGAAGAUGAAAUUGAAGGAGUUGAUUCAAGAUAAAAUCGAAUAAAUGAUGAAGAAAUCGGGAAAAGCUUCUUCAACUGAAAAACGAAAAUCAACUUUGACAAUUUCUGAAAUGAAAUAGGGAAACAAAUUGAGAAGAGAAGAAAUAGGGAAAAAUAAUUUCAGAGAAAUGGGAAUGAAGGCAUUGCAUUGAAGAACGAAAAUUACUUUGACAAUUUCUGAGACGAAAAUUGCAUGAUUUUUGGUGAAGAAAAUUUUAUAAGGAGAGUUGCUAUAGAAGAAGUUCAUUUUUGU
rnacentral:lncRNA from 1 species